GUCAGGAAGGCACAGCCUGACUCUUUGAACCCAAAUCCCAGGGUGGAGCUGACUUGGGGGACAAACUGGAAGGGAUCCCCUCCCAGAGGCGCUGGACCAGGAAGACCAGACACCAUGGUCUCACGUUACCCUCUGCCUGCCUGCUGCCCAGCCCGGGGACCCCACCCACUGGGCCUCCUGCCCUCACAUACUUUCCGUGACCAACAGACACCCUCCGGCUCCUGCCUAGCCACCCCCACCUGACGGGAAGGACCGUGCUCGGCAGAGACUUGGAAUGCCUAAGCUGGGCCGACCCAGAGAAAGAACCUCAGCACAGAUGGAGAGACCAAGGCCAGAGAAGCUGGAAGGACUGGAUGGAGGAGGAGAAGGAGUCAUGGGGGAUGGAGGGAUGGUUGGCUGCAGCAAUGAUCUCAGGUGGUCCGAUGCCACCCCGACCCCUCCCAGGAGGCCGCCCACCCCUAGUACCUUGAGGUCCAGAUGCAGAACUCUCAUCUUGUGCAUGAAGAGGAUGCCAUCGCAGAUCUGCCUGACAAACACCAUGGUGUCCACCUCAGUCAGCUGGUAGUCCUCAUCCACAAUCCUCUCGAAGAGCUCGCCACCCUCGAUGCUGUGUGCACAGACCCCUCUACAGGCUUGCCUCUGGGCCUGCUGCCUUCUGCUCCCCCCCAGCCCCAGGCCCCCACCCUGCUGCCGACACUCACUACUCCAUGAAGAGGACGAUCUCAUGCGGGGUCUCGAUGGCCGCAUAAAGCUGGAUCAGGUU